rnacentral:rRNA from 1 species
GACGAACGCUGGCGGCGUGCUUAACACAUGCAAGUCGAACGAAGUGGCGAACGGGUGAGUAAUACGUGAGUAACCUGCCCUCCUUUUUGGGAUAAGCCUUGGAACCGGGGUCUAAUACCGAAUAAAGGGGGAUGGGCUCGCGGCCUAUCAGCUUGUUGGUGGGGUGAUGGCCUACCAAGGCGGUGACGGGUAGCCGGCCUGAGAGGGUGACCUGCCACAUUGGGUCUGAGGUACGGCCCAGAUGCGUACGGGGGGACUCUGUGGGGGAGAUUGCACAAUGGGCGAAAGGCUGAUGCAGCGGCGCCGCGGGUGGGAUGACGGCCUUCGGGUUGUAAACCGCUUUCAGCCAUGAAGCGGUAGUGGCAGAAGAAGCACCGGCUAACUACGUGCCAGCAGCCGCGGUAAUUC